CACACUUCACAGUUCACACACAGCUCACUUUUCUUUUGUCCCUCAAAUACUACUACUCUCCCUCUCCCUCUCCCUCUCCCUCUCACACACAAACACCUAACCUAACAAGCCCCCAAACCCAAGCACCACAAAAUCCCCAAAUUCUCAAGAAAACCCUAAAUUGCAAUUCACAUCAAAAUCUCUCACUUCAGAUUACUCCCUUAGCCAUGGACGCUCAACGAGCUCUGCUAGACGAGCUUAUGGGCGCAGCUCGGAAUUUGACGGAGGAAGAGAGAAAAGGGUACAAGGAAAUUACUUGGGACGAUAAGGAGGUUUGUGCUUUCUAUAUGGUUCGGUUUUGUCCGCAUGAUCUCUUCGUCAAUACGAGGAGCGAUCUGGGACCAUGCCCUAGAAUACAUGAUCAGAAGUUGAAAGAAAGUUUUGAGCAGUCUCCAAGACAUGACAAGUACGUGCCGAGAUUUGAAGCUGAGCUUUCUCAGUUUUGUGAAAAGUUGGUGACAGACUUGGAUAGAAGAGUUAGGCGUGGGCGAGAGCGCCUUGCUCAGGAGGUGGAACCCACUCCACCACCUCCACUAUCAGCCGAAAAAUCUGAACAGUUAUCCGUAGUGGAAGAAAAAAUAAAGAAUCUACUGGAACAAGUGGAGACCCUUGGUGAAGCUGGGAAGGUGGAUGAAGCUGAAGCACUCAUGAGAAAGGUGGAGUUGCUUAAUGUUGAGAAGACAGCCUUGACUCAACAACCCCAGACUGAUAAAGUGUUAAUGCUAGCACAGGAGAAAAAGAUGGCUCUGUGUGAGAUAUGUGGUUCUUUUCUUGUAGCAAAUGAUGCUGCUGAGAGGACCCAGUCUCAUGUCACAGGGAAGCAGCACAUUGGUUAUGGCAUGGUCCGGGAUUUCAUAGCAGAGUACAAGGCAGCUAGAGAGAAGGCUAGGGAAGAGGAAAGAUUAGCCAAGGAGAAAGAAGCAGAAGAACGGAAGAAGCAAAGAGAGAAGGAAUCUGAAAGGAGGAGGAGAAGUGAUUCUGGUGACAGGGACAGGGACAGGGACAGGUAUCAUGAUCGUGAUAGAGACAGAGAGCGGGAUAGACACCGAGAACGUGAUAGGUCUAGAGACUGGAAUGCUCGAGGUAGUCGGGAUGGAGGGAGAGGAGUGGAUUGGAGGUUGAGGAACGGAAGAGAAGGUGGCAGAGAUAGGUACCGUGAUCGAAGCAGGUCACGUUCCCCUGUUAGACAUGGUCACUGAAGGGCACCUAGAAGUCCAGUUCGCCCAUAUUAGUGGAUUAUUUCGAUAGAUGUCUGAACAUGUGUUUGAGCUUUGUUGAGACUAUACCAUCUCCCUUUCAUCAAUAUUAUUAAUGGAGAAAAGGGUUGAGAGUAUUUUUAGUGGUCAGACACAAAGUUAUAUGCAUGAUUGACAUUGCUGCUCAGAGAGAUGACGCGGUUUUUUCUCAUUUUUGAGGUAACAAUUAGACCUUAUUUCUAUCAACACAACCCCAUGGAUUGAUAAUUCCUUCUCAGAUUCUCUUCCCCCUUAUUUUAUGGUUCUUAGGUUGAGUUAAACCGGUUUGUUUGCAAAUUCUGCUUAUAUUACCAUAUGUUUGACCUCAUCAAAGUACUCUACCAGUUUGGAAAAUAUUGGAUGAUUUAGUCAAUGCCUUUAAGGCAACACUUAUGGGCCAUCCAGAUAUGGCUUCAUACAAUCCUAUGCAGCGUUUCAUCCUUUCUACAAUGAUCUUUAAGGUAGGAAGACUCAUUCUUUUCUCCCAUCCGUCCCCUGCCCUCACUAUAGUUUUUGAUUCAAAUGAUAACAAGGUGCAUCCAGUAUGCCGUGAAUGGGCAAUUAUUAAGAUGCUAUAGAAAUAAGAGGGACAGCAAUCACUGUAUUUUAUUCUUAUGUGAAAUUUGUUACUUGUUUUACAGAGUUGUGGUUAGUUUUGGAGUUAUCAGGAUCAGACAGGUAUAGGUAAUUUACUUUGUGUUUGCAGAGUGAUUCUUUAUCCGAAAUGUUGUUGCCACAUUCAUGAAAAUCUACUUCAGUGGGCUGGGAUGCGAGACCAUUUUGCAAACAUUAAACUUGCCUGUUUGUAGGUGCCUGGAGGUAACCAAAAAUUAUAAUGUGCAGAAUAGUUUGUUUCCAUUUAGUUUGCAGGAAAAAGGAGGUAAUCUGGUGAUCCUUGAUGGUCAGAUUGCUGCUAGUAAGUAAAUAUAUUAUGCUAAGGAAUGAUUUGCACAGGGAAAACUCCAAAAUGUCUCAAGCAACUUUAUAAGUAAAUAUCUUAAGCAACUUUAGAAGUAGUUGCUGCUUGUGAAAUUAUAUUCUAAGAUAUGGGAAAUGAGAAACCAAAUGUAAUUACAUAUAUUCAACAAAAAAAAGGAAAGGGGUAAUUACAUUUGGAUUGGAAGAUCA